rnacentral:snoRNA from 1 species
AUGCAAGCUUUUCCAGCAUGUCGGUGUCCUCUAUGACUCCAGACAUUCCUCAAGACUUGCUAGAGUAACCCUGAGAUGGUUUGAGGCCUCACUCUGCUGUGACUUCGGAGUAAGGUUAUAGAAAUCUCAGAUAUCA